rnacentral:rRNA from 1 species
AGGUCACUGCUAUUGGGAUUCGACUAAGCCAUGCGAGUCGAGAGGGUUCGGCCCUCGGCUGACGGCUCAGUAACACGUGGAUAAUCUGCCCUAAGGUGGAGGAUAACCUCGGGAAACUGAGAAUAAUACUCCAUAGGUCUAGGAUGCUGGAAUGCGCCUAGGCUGAAAACUCCGGUGCCUUAGGAUGAGUCUGCGGACUAUCAGGUUGUAGUCAGGGUAAAGACCUGACUAGCCUACGACGGAUACGGGUUGUGAGAGCAAUAACCCGGAGAUGAUAUCUGAGACACGAUAUCAGGCCCUACGGGGCGCAGCAGGCGCGAAAACUUCACACUGCGCGAAAGCGCGAUGAGGGAUUUCCUAGUGUAUGCACGUAAGUGUAUACUGUGGGGGGGGGGGGGAACGCACCCCCCAGUAAGAGCUGGGUAAGACGGGUGCCAGCCGCCGCGGUAAUACCUGCAGCUCGAGUGGUGAUCACUAUUAUUGGGCCUAAAACGUCCGUAGCCGGUCUUAUAAAUGCCUGGGUAAAUCGUGCCGCUUAACGGUACGAAUUCCGGGUAGACUGUAAGACUUGAGACCGGGUGAGGCUAGAGGUACUCCUNGGGUAGANGUGNAANUCUGUNAUCCUANGGGGACCACCAGUGNCGAANGCGUCUAGCUAGAACGGGUCUGACGNUGAGGGACGAAGNCCUGGGGCGCGAACCGGAUUAGAUACCCGGGUAGUCCAGGGUGUAAACGCUGCUUGCUUGAUGUNAGNCGGGCUCCGAGCCCGAUUAGUGUCGGAGUGANGAUGUUAAGCNAGCUGCCUGGGAAGUACGGUCGCAAGGCUGAAACCUAAAGGAAUGGGCGGGGGAGCACAGCAACGGGUGGAGCGUGCGGUUUAAUUGGAUUCAACGCCGGAAAACUCACCGGAGGCGACGGUUACAUGAAGGCCAGGCUGAUGACCUUGCUCGAUUUUCCGAGAGGUGGUGCAUGGCCGCCGUCAGUUCGUACCGUAAGGCGUUCUGUUAAGUCAGACAACGAACGAGACCCUCAUCUCCCCCCGCAACUGGUAAGUUCGCUUACUGGGCACAUUAGAGAGACCGCUGGCGAUAAGUCAGAGGAAGGCGAGGGCAACGGUAGGUCAGUAUGCCCUGAAUCCUCCGGGCUACACGCGCGCUACAAAGGCCAGGACAAUGGGCUUCGACACCGAAAGGUGAAGGUAAUCUCGAAACCUGGUCGUAGUUCGGAUCGAGGGUUGUAACUCACCCUCGUGAAGCUGGAAUCCGUAGUAAUCGCGGAUCAACAUCCCGCGGUGAAUAUGCCCCUGCUCCUUGCACACACCGCCCGUCAAACCAUGCGAAUCGGGUGUAAGUGAGGAUGUAAUUUUUGUUACAUUCAAACUUAUGCUUGGUAAGCGGGGUU